CAUUUUAAUUGUUAAUGGUUUUUUGUUUUUCAUUUUCUUGAUUCUGGAACCCUGCAGAUCGGCGCAUCUGAGGGCGAUGGAGUUCCAAGACCGGGGAAGAUUCUGUGGAAGAUGAGGUUGCCAUGAAGCUUCUCCUGGUCACCAUCGGGGACAAGGGUACACCAAGUGGCUACCCCAAAGCAGAUCAGAGAACUGAUGAAGGUUGACGGGCUCACCAAUGAUGAAGUGAAGAGCCAUUUGCAGGUAGGUUUGGAUUCAAUUUGAUUGCCUCUUUGCUUCUUGCUUCUUAAAGGGUGCCGAAUGCUUCGACGGCAGUGAACCAUCCUGUUGUCGUUAUGGGAGAUUUAUGGGUUCCCCAGGAGCACUAUUCUGCUUCACAGAAGAGUGCUUCCCAGUCUGGUUCUCCCCAAACCCCUCUUCAACUAGCUGGUGCUGGCCACACAAUCUCCAUUACUGCUGGAGAUAGCUGCGAGGAAGAAGAUGGGAAAUCGGAGAGCUGCAGCUGGAAAUGAGAGGAUAGCCAUUAUGAGGAAGGGAGUUAAGCCAACAACCAUCGGGGACACCAAGUCCCUGAUGAAAAAUAUUUUUUUAAAAAAACUUGGGGCCAAAGCCGACGCUUAUAAGCGUCGGCGUAGGUAGUUUUAGCGACGCUUUUAAGGGUCGCUAAAAAGCGUCGCUAAAAAUCCACCUUUUACAACGCUUCUCAAGAGCGUCGGGAAAAAUUUUUCCCACUUCAGUAUUGCCAACGCUUUGGCGACGCUUCUGUUUGCGUCAGUGGUAUUUUAGCCGACGCUUAUUAGCGUCACUAAAGGUCGCCAAAAGCGCCGGAAAAAGUUGGUUUUCCUGUAGUGCUGCUAAGAUCCCCGUCCAAUGACUCACAUGGAUAAUAUAAUUUAUUUAUUUUUUUUGCUAAAGGGAUAAUAUAAUCUUUGGUGUUAUGAACCAGAGCCAAAUAUGAACUGACCUCUUGAGGUAUGGGAAUCUCCUCCUACGUAGAGGGUUUUUUUUUUUCAUUCAGAACCCUUACACAACAGUUUUCACCUCCCAAGAAUUUUGGUCGAUCUCAUAUCUAACCUGGUAUAUGAUAGCAGAAUAACAUUUAACAUAGUAAAAAAAAUAAAUUAUAAAAAUCUUCAAGGUAAAUUAUAUUUAUACCUAAUAAUAUAAAAAAUCUAUAAUUAUCCAUUUAGGUUUAUUUUUAUCCAAUACUUUAAUCCAUAACUUAAUAGAACGUUAGUCAAACAUUAACUUUUAAUGAAAUUCAAAUG